GCCGGCGUAGCUCAGGGGUAGAGCAGCUGAUUCGUAAUCAGCAGGUCGCGGGUUCAAUUCCCAUCGCCGGCUCCA
rnacentral:tRNA from 1 species